CCUCCCUUUCUCAGAGUAUGAAGAAGGGAAGGGAGAGGUUUGGGGAAGCUCUGCUUCAGCUGUGGGGCCACAGAAGGCAGGACUCAGGGAUGGACUCCACCAUGGCCUGGUCCCCUCUCCUGCUCACCCUCCUGGCUCAGUGCACAGGGUCCUGGGCCCAGGCUGUGCUGACUCAGCCGCCCUCAGUGUCGGGGAACGCAGGACAGACCGUCACCCUCUCCUGCACUGGAAGCAGCACCAACAUUGGGGAUGGUUAUAGUGUGGGCUGGUACCAACAAGUCCCAGGAAAACCCCCUAUAACCGUGAUCUAUAGUACUAACAGUAGACCCUCGGGGAUCCCCGACCGCUUCUCUGGAUCCAGGUCUGGCAGUGUCGGCACCCUGACCAUCAGUGGGCUCCAGGCUGAGGACGAGGCCAGCUAUUACUGCUCAGCAUGGGACAAAAGUCUCACUGCUACCACAGUGCUACAGCACUGUGGGGAAGUGAGACAAAAACCUGCUGUCCCCUGCAGUGCAGUUCCCGGGUGCAGUCCCCACUCCUCUGAGAAGACAGCUGCUUUCUCGGUUUGCUUGGUCUGA